rnacentral:piRNA from 1 species
UUAAUACUUUUUUCUGAACAG